AUGCGCGGUACACGGGCUAAUUUGCAUGUCGCCCACAUCGAGAUGCCGCCGCGGCCGGGAUUCGAUCCUACACCCUCGGACUUGGCAUCGCAACGCCAAGAGUCAGAGAGAACUGCGGGGCAUCGUGGACGGAAUGAGCGGAGUGAUUCGAGGGCUGACAGAUGGAGUGCUGGGGUACCUGGCCGACUGCGAGGCGUCCGAAGCAUCCGAAGCCCUGCGGAACAUCGCCUACGCGCUGAGGAACACAUGAUGACGCCCCUGCAAAACUUGUGGGGACGCUCGACUCUCACGCGUGCCCUGAUGUUGUUUUCCCCGCAUGGCUCUCGCGUCUCCUGUAAUCCGGCUUCCGCGCGUAGUCGUGCACCGCCGGCGGUCGGUGUAGUUCCAGACAAGUA